GACGAACGCUGGCGGCGUGCCUAAUACAUGCAAGUAGAACGAGUUGCGAACGGGUGAGUAACGCGUGGUAACCUGCCGCAUAGCGUGGGAUAACUAUUGGAAACGAUAGCUAAUACCGCAUACUGUGAGAUGGACAUGCGUUUGAUUAGCUAGUUGGUGAGGUAGAGGCUCACCUAGGCGACGAUCCCUAGCUGGUCUGAGAGGAGGAUCAGCCACACUGGAACUGAGACACGGUCCAGACUCCUACGGGAGGCAGCAGUGGGGAAUAUUGGACAAUGGGCGCAAGCCUGAUACAGCCAUGCCGCGUGUAUGAAGAAGGUCUUCGGGUUGUAAAGUACUUUCAGCGAGGAGGCGUUACUCGCAGAAGAAGCACCGGCUAACUCCGUGCCAGCAGCCGCGGUAAUUC
rnacentral:rRNA from 1 species